rnacentral:misc_RNA from 1 species
GGACUGUGAUUUUGAGCUCUUAAGGCUUUUGGAAGCCAAUAAUAGACAUUGAAAAUAGAAACUAGAAUAUUUUCUGAACUGAAAAGUUGAACAUUAGAUUGCUGCAAAUUCAGUUUUGGAUUCUGACCCGACAUUGAGUCUUCCCAGGAGUGUAGUGGUGGUUUCCAGAGGGGUAUUCAAAGUAAAGGUUCCUUUAAAUACAUUAUCCUCAUGAAUGCAUUUGUCAUCCAAAUGCUCAGUGAACCAACAAAGGCUGUUAGUUAUGAAAAAAGUAUAAUUGCAUCAAUUUUCAAGAUCAUAAGUAAAUGCCAAGAGGAGCUCCCUCCAGAAGAGCGCAACAUUACACUACGGGUCAAGUGUAUUGGUGUUGAGACAGAAGAUGGCAAUGUAGAGAAAUUGACAAAGAAACAGAUGGCGCUGAGGUUUGGAACAAAAAAUACACAAAUUUGUGGAAGUAUGGCAACCAAGGAAUGCCAAGAUGUUGCGCCACCAACAGGGCCACCAAAGACCAAAACAACAUUGACAACAAGAAUAUCAACAACCCCAACAUCCCCCCCUCCAUUACCAACACAACCAUUUCCGGAGAAUGAUGCAGGAACAUGUGUAGAUAUUAUUUUUAUAAUAGAUGUCUCAUGUACAGUUGUGAAACAAUAUCAAAGACAGGCUAUUGAAGUUAUUAAACGCUUUAUUAAAGAAGUAAAAUUCAAAGGUGACGAGACUGGGAAAGAUUCAACAUUUCACUUGCCUAUUGUCAGGCUACCCUUUACCGCUGAAUCAUCAGAUAAUAAAGGAACAAUUAAAAGGAUCAUAGAGCUUAUGUCUGCAAUUAGCUAUGACCAGAAGACACUAUCCAAUGUUGGUGUCAUAGCCUUUCACAAGGUAGCCCUGAAUACAUCCAUUCCAUUCCAAAAUAAUCGUAGGGAUUUAGAAAAGGGACUCAAAAAACUCCUGAAAUAUGAAGGGAUAUGCAAAACACAUGGAGAUAGUGCAUAUGACAAAGCUGUGGAGAUGUUUGAUACAAUUCCAAAACGAGAUCGAAAUAUUGUGGUUGUAUUUGGCGAUGGCCGCAAUACUGGAACUAAGCAUCAAAGUCUAUCUGAACAAGCAAUGGAGAGGUUAAAAUCUGAGCAAAAUGUGGACGUUAUUUGGGUUACAACUCCAACUAAGAUUUUGAAAACUUCAAAAACUGCAUCAGAACAGGCAGCAGAAAUAAUACGUGGCCAGAUGCACAUUGAACGACAUGUGAAAAAAACGCAAAUAUUUGACAUAAGAGACAAUGCCUUAAAUACAAAACUAUAUGAGCAUGUUUUGGAAAAUUAUGUAUGUGAAAACUGAACAUUAGAGAGAAAGUGUUAACUCUCAAAAUUGAAUAGUUCAAUACCAUAGAACGUUAUUUUGAGAUCCAAAUUAAUAAAUGAAAAUUGGAUUUGAACAUUUGAUUUGCCUGUAGAAUGACAAAAAAUGUCUAUCAAUGUCAUUUUAGAUGAGAAUCAGUAUCAUCUCAGAUUUUGAACAAUUUCUCACAAUCGAUGUUAUGUUAUGUUUCUCUGCCAAAUUAUGCAUGUAAAUUCAAAAGUGUUCAUGUUAUACUGUGUUCUGAUUGGCCAGAAAGGAGUAAAGCUUCUCAAAAUCACCUUAUGGUUCAAUGCCUUUUG